rnacentral:rRNA from 1 species
UGGGUAGGAAGUUUCGGCGGUUGGGAUGGACUCGCGGCUUAUCAGCUUGUUGGUGGGGUAGUGGCUUACCAAGGCUUUGACGGGUAGCCGGCCUGAGAGGGUGACCGGCCACAUUGGGACUGAGAUACGGCCCAGACUCCUACGGGAGGCAGCAGUGGGGAAUAUUGCACAAUGGCGGAAGCCUGAUGCAGCAACGCCGCGUGCGGGAUGACGGCCUUCGGGUUGUAAACCGCUUUCGCCUGUGACGAAGCGUGAGUGACGGUAAUGGGUAAAGAAGCACCGGCUAACUACGUG